UACGGAGGGGACUAGCGUUGUUCGGAAUUACUGGGCGUAAAGCGCACGUAGGCGGAUUUGUGAGUCAGGGGUGAAAUCCCGAGGCUCAACCUCGGAACUGCCUUUGAUACUGCAAAUCUCGAGUCCGGAAGAGGUGAGUGGAAUUCCUAGUGUAGAGGUGAAAUUCGUAGAUAUUAGGAAGAACACCAGUGGCGAAGGCGGCUCACUGGUCCGGUACUGACGCUGAGGUGCGAAAGCGUGGGGAGCAAACAGG
rnacentral:rRNA from 1 species